UACAGAGGUCUCAAGCGUUGUUCGGAAUCACUGGGCGUAAAGGGUGCGUAGGCGGCGCAAAAAGUCAGAUGUGAAAUCCGGAGGCUCAACCUCCGAAUUGCAUCCGAAACUCUUGUGCUGGAGAAUUGUAGAGGAGCUUGGAACUCUCGGUGUAGCAGUGAAAUGCGUAGAUAUCGAGAAGAACGCUCGCAGCGAAAGCGAGGCUCUGGGCAAUUUCUGACGCUGAUGCACGAAGGCUAGGGGAGCAAACGGG
rnacentral:rRNA from 1 species